CUCGGGGCGGGGGUUGGGGGCUCCUCAGCCUGGAUUGUGAGAGGGCACAGGCCAGGCUGAGGGACCCCACUGGUGCAAG
rnacentral:pre_miRNA from 1 species